AGAGUUUGAUCAUGGCUCAGAUUGAACGCUGGCGGCAGGCCUAACACAUGCAAGUCGAGCGGUAGCACAGAGAGCUUGCUCUCGGGUGACGAGCGGCGGACGGGUGAGUAAUGUCUGGGAAACUGCCUGAUGGAGGGGGAUAACUACUGGAAACGGUAGCUAAUACCGCAUAACGUCGCAAGACCAAAGUGGGGGACCUUCGGGCCUCAUGCCAUCAGAUGUGCCCAGAUGGGAUUAGCUGGUAGGUGGGGUAAUGGCUCACCUAGGCGACGAUCCCUAGCUGGUCUGAGAGGAUGACCAGCCACACUGGAACUGAGACACGGUCCAGACUCCUACGGGAGGCAGCAGUGGGGAAUAUUGCACAAUGGGCGCAAGCCUGAUGCAGCCAUGCCGCGUGUGUGAAGAAGGCCUUCGGGUUGUAAAGCACUUUCAGCGGGGAGGAAGGCGAUAAGGUUAAUAACCUUGUCGAUUGACGUUACCCGCAGAAGAAGCACCGGCUAACUCCGUGCCAGCAGCCGCGGUAAUACGGAGGGUGCAAGCGUUAAUCGGAAUUACUGGGCGUAAAGCGCACGCAGGCGGUCUGUCAAGUCGGAUGUGAAAUCCCCGGGCUCAACCUGGGAACUGCAUUCGAAACUGGCAGGCUAGAGUCUUGUAGAGGGGGGUAGAAUUCCAGGUGUAGCGGUGAAAUGCGUAGAGAUCUGGAGGAAUACCGGUGGCGAAGGCGGCCCCCUGGACAAAGACUGACGCUCAGGUGCGAAAGCGUGGGGAGCAAACAGGAUUAGAUACCCUGGUAGUCCACGCUGUAAACGAUGUCGAUUUGGAGGUUGUGCCCUUGAGGCGUGGCUUCCGGAGCUAACGCGUUAAAUCGACCGCCUGGGGAGUACGGCCGCAAGGUUAAAACUCAAAUGAAUUGACGGGGGCCCGCACAAGCGGUGGAGCAUGUGGUUUAAUUCGAUGCAACGCGAAGAACCUUACCUGGUCUUGACAUCCACAGAACUUUCCAGAGAUGGAUUGGUGCCUUCGGGAACUGUGAGACAGGUGCUGCAUGGCUGUCGUCAGCUCGUGUUGUGAAAUGUUGGGUUAAGUCCCGCAACGAGCGCAACCCUUAUCCUUUGUUGCCAGCGGUUAGGCCGGGAACUCAAAGGAGACUGCCAGUGAUAAACUGGAGGAAGGUGGGGAUGACGUCAAGUCAUCAUGGCCCUUACGACCAGGGCUACACACGUGCUACAAUGGCAUAUACAAAGAGAAGCGACCUCGCGAGAGCAAGCGGACCUCAUAAAGUAUGUCGUAGUCCGGAUUGGAGUCUGCAACUCGACUCCAUGAAGUCGGAAUCGCUAGUAAUCGUAGAUCAGAAUGCUACGGUGAAUACGUUCCCGGGCCUUGUACACACCGCCCGUCACACCAUGGGAGUGGGUUGCAAAAGAAGUAGGUAGCUUAACCUUCGGGAGGGCGCUUACCACUUUGUGAUUCAUGACUGGGGUGAAGUCGUAACAAGGUAACCGUAGGGGAACCUGCGGUUGGAUCACCU
rnacentral:rRNA from 2 species